UACGAGGGGGGCGAGCGUUGUUCGGAAUUAUUGGGCGUAAAGGGCGCGUAGGCGGUCGGAUAAGUCUUGUGUGAAAUCUUCGGGCUCAACUCGAAGUCUGCAGAGGAAACUAUCUGGCUUGAGUGUGGGAGAGGUGAGUGGAAUUCCUGGUGUAGCGGUGAAAUGCGUAGAUAUCAGGAGGAACACCUGUGGCGAAAGCGGCUCACUGGACCACAACUGACGCUGAGGCGCGAAAGCUAGGGGAGCAAACAGG
rnacentral:rRNA from 1 species